UUUCUUCAGCUCAAUAAAAGCUCAUUUGCUUUACAGCUUUAUUCUCACUGUGUUCAUCAGUAACUAACUGUGUUAAUGAGUGAGUGAUGGUGGUAGUGAGUGAAUGAUUGUGUAAAUGAUGGUGUUAAUGAUUGUGUUAAUGAGUGAAUGAUUGUGUAAAUGAUGGUGUUAAAGAUGGAGUUAAUGACGGUGCAAAUGAGUGAGUGAUGGUGUUAAUGGUUAUGUAAAUGAUGGUGUUAAUUAUGGUGUUGAUGAGUGAGUGGAUGAUGUAAAAUGAUGGUGUAAAUGAUGGUGUUAAUAAAUAAAUAAUGGUGUAGAUGAUAAUGAUGGUGGUAAUGAUGGUGUAAAUGAGUAAAUGAUGGUGUGAGGUGAUGGUGUUAAUGAUGGUGUUAUUGAUGGUGGUAAUGAGUGAGUGAUGGUGGUAAUGAUGGUGGUAGUGAUGGUGUGGGUGAUGGGGGUUAAUGAUGGUGGUAGUGAUGGUGUUAAUGAGUGAGUGAUGGUGUAAAUGAUGGUGGUAAUGAUGGUGGUAGUGAUGGUGGUAAUGAUGGUGGUAGUGAUGGUGUUAAUGAUGGUGUGGGUGAUGGUGGUAUGAUGGUGUUAUUGAUGGUGGUAAUGAGUGAUGGUGUGGGUGAUGGUGUAAAUGAUGGUGUAAUGAUGGGGUUAAUGAUGGUGGGUAGUGAUGGUGUUAAUGAGUGAGUGAUGGUGUGGGUGAUGUAUUAAUGAUGGUGGUAGUGAUGGUGUUAAUGAGUGAGUGAUGGUGUAAAUGAUGGUGGUAAUGAUGGUGGUAGUGAUGGUGGUAAUGAUGGGGUAGUGAUGGUGUAAAUGAUGGUGGUAGUGAUGGUGUUAAUGAUGGUGGUAGUGAUGGUUGUAAUGUUGGUGGUAGUGAUGGUGUUAAUGAGUGAGUGAUGGUGUAAAUGAUGGUGUUAUGAUGGUGGUAGUGAUGGUGUUAAUGAUGGUGGUAGUGAUGGUGGUAAUGAUGGUGGUAGUGAUGGUGUUAAUGAUGGUGGUAGUGAUGGUGUUAAUGAGUGAGUGAUGGUGUAAAUGAUGGUGUUAAUGAUGGUGGUAGUGAUGGUGUUAAUGAUGGUGGUAGUGAUGGUGUUAAUGAGUGAGUGGAUGGUGUUAAUGAUGGUGGUAGUGAUGGUGUUAAUGAUGGUGGUAGUGAUGGUGUUAAAUGAUGAGUGAUGGUGGUAAUGAUGGUGGUAGUGAUGGUGUUUAAUGAUGGUGGUAGUGAUGGUGUUAAUGAGUGAGUGAUGGUGUUUAAUGAUGGUGGUAGUGAUGGUGGUAGUGAGUGGUAGUGAUGGUGUUAAUGAUGGUGUGGGUGAUGGUGGUAAUGAUGGUGGGGUGAUGUGGUAAUGAUGGUGGUUAGUGAUGGUGGUAGUGAUGGUGGUAAUGAUGGUGGUAGUGAUGGUGUUAAUGAUGGUGUGGGUGAUGGUGGUAAUGAUGGUGGUAGUGAUGGUGGUAGUAGAUUGGUGGUAAUGAUGGUGGUAGUGAUGGUGGUAAUGAUGGUGGUAGUGAUGGUGUUAAUGAUGGUGUGGGUGAUGGUGGUAAUGAUGGUGGUAGUGAUGGUGUGGGUUAUGGUGGUAAUGAUGGUGGUAGUGAUGGUGUUAAUGAGUGAGUGAUGGGUGUAAAUGAUGGUGGUAGUGGAUGGUGUUAAUGAGUGAGUGAUGGUGUGGGUGAUGGUGUUAAUGAUGUGGUAGUGAUGGUGUUAAUGAGUGAGUGAUGGUGUAAAUGAUGGUGGUAAUGAUGGUGGUAGUGAUGGUGGUAAUGAUGGUGGUAGUGAUGGUGGUAGUGAUGGUGUAAAUGAUGGUGGUAAUGAUGGUGUGGGUGAUGGUGGUUAAUGAUGGUGGUAGUGAUGGUGGUAGUGAUGGUGGUAAUGAUGGUGGUAGUGAUGGUGGUAGUGAUGGUGUAAAUGAUGGUGGUAAUGAUGGUGGUAGUGAUGGUGGUAAUGAUGGUGGUAGUGAUGGUGUUAAUGAUGGUGUGGGUGAUGGUGGUAAUGAUGGUGGUAGUGAUGGUGGUAAUGAUGGUGGUAGUGAUGGUGUUAAUGAUGGUGUGGGUGAUGGUGGUAGUGAUGGUGGUAGUGAUGGUGGUAGUGAUGGUGGUAGUGAUGGUGGUAAUGAUGGUGGUAGUGAUGGUGUUAAUGAUGGUGUGGGUGAUGGUGGUAGUGAUGGUGGUAAUGAUGGUGGUAGUGAUGGUGGUAAUGAUGGUGGUAGUGAUGGUGGUAAUGAGUGAAUGAUGAUGACGUUGGAUUCGAUCGUAUCGUUACAGUUCUAUAUUUGAACCCAUGUGUUAAAUGAUGUAGUGGCAGAAAUGAGCCCGGGUUAUUCCACGAUACCGAGCGUCUGAACGCAGCCUCGCUCACAGUCAACAUCGUCUCAUUAAUCCCUGAUCGAAUGGAACUUCAGCAUGAAAUCGAACUCGCCGUCUCACACACACACUUCUGACUCAUCUUCCGACUCCAGGAUUAAACUCAUGGGCGUGCGUUAUUUUAAAGCGGUUCUGAACACGACGGAAAGUUCCGUCUCUGGACUAACGAGCAUGCGCUGCUAAUCUCCAUUAACACGAGCGUGAAGCGCGCGAGACGCUAACUCUGUCCUGUGACACAGAGCCAUGCUGAGGACAGGAGAUGCAUUAUGGGAGGUAAGGUCAACACACACAAGGCACUAAUACUCGGAGCGAUGGGAAAAAUACGCGGUGCGGGUUUCAGGAGGCUGAAGUGCACUCGGUGAAAGCAGAUCAGCUAAUUAAGCGUCCUAGAUGCACUUAGCAACCCUGCGUGGGUCUGAUUGACUCGGAUGAAGCCGCUCUCACACGCUGCCUCUCAGGACAUUGCAGGUAAUUAC
ensembl:lncRNA